AGAGUUUGAUCCUGGCUCAGGACGAACGCUGGCGGCGUGCUUAACACAUGCAAGUCGAACGAGGUCCAUGCAGUAGCAAUACUGCGGAAGACCUAGUGGCGAACGGGUGCGUAACACGUGAGGAACUUGUCCCGGUCUCUGGGAUAACAGUUGGAAACGACUGCUAAUACCGGAUGACGUCGGAGCAUCGCAUGGUGCGCUGACGAAAGGGUUACCGGAUCGGGAGAGCCUCGCGGCCUAUCAGCUUGUUGGUGGGGUAAUGGCCUACCAAGGCAUCGACGGGUAGCUGGUCUGAGAGGAUGAUCAGCCACACUGGGACUGAGACACGGCCCAGACUCCUACGGGAGGCGGCAGUGGGGAAUCUUGCGCAAUGGGCGAAAGCCUGACGCAGCAACGCCGCGUGCGGGAAGAAGGCUCUCGGGUUGUAAACCGCUUUCAGAAGGAACGAAACUGACGGUACUUUCAGAAGAAGGUGCGGCCAACUACGUGCCAGCAGCCGCGGUAAUAC
rnacentral:rRNA from 1 species